rnacentral:rRNA from 1 species
GAUGAACGCUGGCGGCGUGCCUAAUACAUGCAAGUCGAGCGAACAGACGAGGAGCUUGCUCCUUCGACGUUAGCGGCGGACGGGUGAGUAACACGUAGGUAACCUACCUAUAAGACUGGGAUAACUUCGGGAAACCGGAGCUAAUACCGGAUAAUAUUUCGAACCGCAUGGUUCGAUAGUGAAAGAUGGCUUUGCUAUCACUUAUAGAUGGACCUGCACCGUAUUAGCUAGUUGGUAAGGUAACGGCUUACCAAGGCAACGAUACGUAGCCGACCUGAGAGGGUGAUCGGCCACACUGGAACUGAGACACGGUCCAGACUCCUACGGGAGGCAGCAGUAGGGAAUCUUCCGCAAUGGGCGAAAGCCUGACGGAGCAACGCCGCGUGAGUGAUGAAGGUCUUCGGAUCGUAAAACUCUGUUAUUAGGGAAGAACAAACGUGUAAGUAACUGUGCACGUCUUGACGGUACCUAAUCAGAAAGCCACGGCUAACUACGUG